UACGUAGGGACCGAGCGUUGUCCGGAAUUAUUGGGCGUAAAGAGCUUGUAGGCGGUUUGUCGCGUCUGCUGUGAAAAUCUGGGGCUCAACCCCGGACUUGCAGUGGGUACGGGCAGACUAGAGUGUGGUAGGGGAGACUGGAAUUCCUGGUGUAGCGGUGAAAUGCGCAGAUAUCAGGAGGAACACCGAUGGCGAAGGCAGGUCUCUGGGCCACUACUGACGCUGAGAAGCGAAAGCAUGGGGAGCGAACAGG
rnacentral:rRNA from 1 species